GACGAACGCUGGCGGCGUGCUUAACACAUGCAAGUCGAGCGGUAAGGCCCUUUCGGGGGUACACGAGCGGCGAACGGGUGAGUAACACGUGGGUGACCUGCCCUCAGCUCUGGGAUAAGCCUGGGAAACCGGGUCUAAUACCGGAUAUGACUCCAUGACGCAUGUUGUGGGGUGGAAAGCCUUGUGCGGCUGAGGAUGGGCCCGCGGCCUAUCAGCUUGUUGGUGGGGUGAUGGCCUACCAAGGCGACGACGGGUAGCCGGCCUGAGAGGGCGACCGGCCACACUGGGACUGAGACACGGCCCAGACUCCGUACGGGAGGCAGCAGGUGGGGAAUCUUGCGCAAGUGGGACGAAAGCCUGACGCAGCGACGCCGCGUGA
rnacentral:rRNA from 1 species